GAACGCUGGCGGCAGGCCUAACACAUGCAAGUCGAGCGGCAGCGGAAAGUAGCUUGGUACUUUGCCGGCGAGCGGCGGACGGGUGAGUAAUGUCUGGGAAACUGCCUGAUGGAGGGGGAUAACUACUGGAAACGGUAGCUAAUACCGCAUAACGUCGCAAGACCAAAGAGGGGGACCUUCGGGCCUCUUGCCAUCAGAUGUGCCCAGAUGGGAUUAGCUAGUAGGUGGGGUAACGGCUCACCUAGGCGACGAUCCCUAGCUGGUCUGAGAGGAUGACCAGCCACACUGGAACUGAGACACGGU
rnacentral:rRNA from 1 species